AACAAAGACAUACCGGCGAUCGAGGAAUGGGAACUUAUAAAAGUUGAAGAGCCAAGAAGGCCUACAAAUAAGCCCAUUCUACUAGCUAUUUGUGCAGAGUCACUAGACGCCUUAGAGAAGGCUGACUAUCGGCUCUGCUUCGGUAUCCGUAAGGCUAGAGUGCGGGUAUUCCUCGGAGAGGUUAGCCCGGUAGAAGAAGAUCCCGGGGUUGAUGGAGCUGGUGAGCUUCUCAUGGGUGUGAAGCUGACAGAUGACCCUGAACCAGAAACUUAAAGUAGCCCAAAUAAAUCUGCAGCACUCCAAAUGUGCUACAGAUAAUCUAGUUGUCCUUCUCAGUGAGGAGGAUAUAGACAUUAGCCUAAUUCAAGAGCCCUGGGUCAAGCACGAUACAAUCAUGGGACUAAAUAUAAAUAAUUAUAAACUCUACUAUAAGAGCGAGCACAUCAGAUACAACAAUGGUUAAGGUGGAGACCACCGGACAGCCAAGUAUACUCCUGGUCUCAUCAUACAUGGCCCACGAUAGGGACAGUCCGCCAACCGAAAUCCAGGAGAUAAUAGCCAAAAACCCCAGACAAAUUAUAGUCGUCGGCUGCGAUGCGAAUGCAAGGCAUCCAGUUUGGGGUAGUUCUACGGAGAACGACCGAGGUGAGUCUUUACUACACUUCUUAUUAAAUACUAACUUAAGCAUCUGCAAUAGAGGUAAUACACCCACAUUCAUAUUCCCGAGUUCAAACCGGUUUCCUGGAUGGGAGGAGGUGCUGGAUCUGACCCUGUUAUCAGAGAACGACAGCGUGUCUGUAGAAGAGUGGAGAGUAUCUGAUAGGCCUUCAAUGUCUGAUCACCGUCUGAUCCUCUUUAAUCUGCACGGAAUUUCCAGCACCCCCUCAAAAUACAGAAACCCCCACAGGACUAAUUGGGAAAGAUAUAGUAACACAAUUAAGCAUAAACUAAGUAAGCUCCCACUAAAUACAACUGUCACUACAGUUGAGGACCUUGAUAAUAGAGUAAAUAAACUAGAAGAGGUUAUGAAGAAAGCCUUUGAAAGAUCAACUCCAGUUAGUACAGCAAGAAAGAAAUCCCCACCCUGGUGGAAUGGGGAUCUCAGAGCCCAAA